GAACUGCACCGCGCUGAUGGAGAGGCGCAUGACCUCUCCCUGGAGGGCCUUGAGGCAAAGGCCGAGCGGCGGCGCCG
rnacentral:misc_RNA from 1 species